UAGGGGGAGUAUGUGCUCGCUAUAUCGCUUUUUCUAACUCUCUCCACUGUGCACCCUAUUGUAGGCUAUGAUAAGGUUCAGAAAGCUUUCAUGCAUUCAUUCAUUAUGUUUGUUUGUUUGCUUUCAACUUUGUAGCCUAUGUCUUACACAAACUCUUUGAUAGUCUUUAUGAAUGUGUGUAUCCGAAUUGGUCUUUGUGAUCAAUACAAGUCAUAUAUAUAUAUACAACUUUCAGCAACGGAUCUCUUGGCUCUCGCAUCGAUGAAGAACGCAGCGAAAUGCGAUAAGUAAUGUGAAUUGCAGAAUUCAGUGAAUCAUCGAAUCUUUGAACGCACCUUGCACUCCUUGGGUAUUCCGAGGAGUAUGCCUGUUUGAGUGUCAUUAUAUUCUCAAAAACCUAGGUGUUCUCUGAAUGACUAGGCUUUUUGGAUGUGAGGGAUUGCUGGCUUUCUAUCGAGUCCGGCUCCCUUCAAAUGUAUUAGUGGUUGCUUCAUUCACUAGAGUGUGAUAGUAUAUCUACGCUUGUUACAGUGAACUUGAAUAUAAAUCAUCUGCUUUCCAACUGUCUUGAAACAUAACAGGACAUAUUUUGACUAUUUGACCUCAAAUCAGGUAGGACUACCCGCUGAACUUAAGCAUAUCAAUAAGCGGAGGAAAAGAAACUAACAAGGAUUCCCCUAGUA
rnacentral:rRNA from 1 species